CGGCUUUUAAAGGCACGACACUCCUUGGCUCAUGGCUCCCAGGUCACAGCCACAUCUCUGCAAUCUGUUUCGGUGCUCACAUGUCUUCCUCUGACUCUCCCGUCUCUCAUUUACAUGUGUAAAGACACUUGUGAUUAUACUGAACCCACAGGAAUAAUCCAGGACAAUCUCACCAAUUCAAGAACCUUAAUUUAAUCACAUCUACAAAGUCCCUCAUCCCAGUUUAAUUCUUAGGCCCAGCCAGAGAUGCCAACAGGAUACGGGAGAAAUGUUUCCUCCCCGACAAUGU
rnacentral:lncRNA from 10 species